AUAUAUUGGAAUUGGAAACCUAGUAAACUAGCUUUCUACCAAAGUUGUUCCUGAUAACUUGCUAAUAAAUUGUCCUAAUAAACCUAAAACUCGCUAGGUAUUUGAUGCCUGGUUAGCAUUGUCAUGUUUUUAUGGUAUAGAGGGAAGCACAUUUUGUUACUUGGUAGCUAGCUAAUGGUUAGCGUUUAGCUAGCAAGCUUAGCUUGCUAAAGUUGGCUAUUAUAACUAGCUAACUAAUGAUUCGAUUGAUAUCUUAAAGACAUAUUUUUAGAUGAAGACGUUGCUGUCUUUAAAUACCAAUAUACAUGUCAAUAUGGUAGCGUCACUAUUCAGUAACGUUAGCAUGUUUAUUAGCUAGCAUAACAACUAAGGUAGCAACUAAUUGAGUUGAUAUCUUUUGCGGAUUGGGAUACCCUUUUUUUCCCUACUCAUGGUGUUGGAAGAAGCUGCAUUGGGAAGAGGAUGCAUCAACACCCUGGAAAGAUUUUUGUGGUACACUUAAGACUUUUUUUUAUUGAUAAAUAUAUUUAUCGUCUUCAAGCUUGAUAAGAAGCAAUCAGUUACCAGGCAAAAAGACAGAUUGAAGCUUUCAAACGAAGGAAAGCGAAAUAUGUGUGCACCAAAUCAGGACUUCUUGCAUGCAUUACCUUGAUUGCAUGCAUUCAACAAGCUUUGGAUGAAGGACUCCAAAGUUCACUCAAAAAAUGCAAUAGUUCUGACCUGGGUUUGAUUUUGUUUUUGUUGUUUUAAUUGUUUAAAUUUGGUUUAUUCUAUUUUAAACCCAUUGGUUGAAAGCUCAUUGCUCAGUUAUAUACUGUCCUAAGGCUAACAUCCCUAUAGUGUUCACAUUUCUCUCAUGUAAAUGUUGUAGCAAUGUGAAAGCAUUAAAUAAACCAUUUAUUUUGGGAAA
ensembl:lncRNA